ACAAAAUAUAAUUCCCAUUGGACAACAUUUUCACCAACAAGAAUGAACUUGAAGCCUCUAAAGUUCCUAAAUAAGCUUAUUUAGGAACCAUCCUCCUAACCUGUUUCUUUUCCCAAAGGGAGCAAGCGAGCGAGCUCUGGUCUGCCGCCGGCUGCUGUGCGCCCCCAGCCACCCCAACCACCUUCUCCAGGCGUCGCCGCCGCCGACGCUUGCCACCAGAUGCAGCCAAUCCCGGCCAUGCCGCCGCCCCGCGCGUAGUACGCCAACACCGGCCGCCGCAGCCACACUCCACCACCAACCGCCAGCACGCACCAUUCCUCGACCUACCCCGCUUCUACACGCAGUCUGCUGCGCGCGGCGCUCCUCCAGGUUCCUCCCUGGCUCCCCCACUUGCGUCGCAGGCCACAACCCCUCCUCCCUCCUGCAUCCUGACGUGCGACAGUCUGCGGCGGGCUUCCUCUCCACGCCACUCCGACCACCAGAUCCGCGCGAGCUCGCCCUUUAGCCAUGGUUUUGGGCGUUGACUCUCGCCACUGUACCUUCCCGGCCCCAUCGAAGCGAGGCGCCGCUGCCGUGGGGAGGUGGGUGGAGCGCACCCUUCUUUAGGCCCUUGGUGGGUGGCCUACUCCCUCUCCAGCGACAUGGCCCUGUCCAUCCCGGGCUCCAGCUCCAGUGACAGCUUCCCCAUGUCGUCGUUCCAGUGGAGGCGCAGAAGCUUGUUCCGAUGGAUCUCGUCCUCGAGCAGUUCAUGGUGUGGAUCUCCGGCGGUUAGCUUUUGGGUUUCUUCUACUCCUUUGAAUCAGCGUCUGUAGUUGGCAAUUAUUUGGGGGUUAUCUGUAGCUAGCAGUUUGCUUGAACUGAAUAAGGAGUUGACUGAGCCGGUCAUUUCAGUUAGCUCAAACCGAAGAAAAGUAAGGUGUGUUGUCUAUUUGGAUACUUGGGUAGCCACUGAAUUUUACUGUUGAGGUCUAAUAUGCGUCAAGGCAUGUAAACUGCAGCAUUUACUGACGUGAUGUGUAUAGCUUACAAGGAUACGUGUCUGUGUACUUGCAUGUUCAGUUCUUACUUGCAAAUAAUGUUGUGUCAAGAGUCAA